rnacentral:rRNA from 1 species
UCCGGGGGGGGCAAGCGUUGUUCGGAAUUACUGGGCGUAAAGGGCGCGUAGGCGGUCUGCUAAGUUGGAUGUGAAAACUCUGGGCUUAACCCAGAGCCUGCAUUCAAUACUGACAGGCUAGAGUUCUGGAGGGGAUAGCGGAAUUCCUGGUGUAGCGGUGAAAUGCGUAGAUAUCAGGAGGAACACCGGUGGCGAAGGCGGCUAUCUGGACAGAGUCUGACGCUGAGGCGCGAAAGCUAGGGGAGCAAACAGG